AGUUUGAUCCUGGCUCAGGAUGAACGCUAGCUACAGGCUUAACACAUGCAAGUCGAGGGGAAACGACAUCGAAAGCUUGCUUUUGAUGGGCGUCGACCGGCGCACGGGUGAGUAACGCGUAUCCAACCUGCCCAUCACUUGGGGAUAACCUUGCGAAAGUAAGACUAAUACCCAAUGAUAUCUCUAGAAGACAUCUGAAAGAGAUUAAAGAUUUAUCGGUGAUGGAUGGGGAUGCGUCUGAUUAGCUUGUUGGCGGGGUAACGGCCCACCAAGGCGACGAUCAGUAGGGGUUCUGAGAGGAAGGUCCCCCACAUUGGAACUGAGACACGGUCCAAACUCCUACGGGAGGCAGCAGUGAGGAAUAUUGGUCAAUGGGCGAGAGCCUGAACCAGCCAAGUAGCGUGCAGGAUGACGGCCCUAUGGGUUGUAAACUGCUUUUAUAAGGGAAUAAAGUGAGUCUCGUGAGAUUUUUUGCAUGUACCUUAUGAAUAAGGACCGGCUAAUUCCGUGCCAGCAGCCGCGGUAAUACGGAAGGUCCGGGCGUUAUCCGGAUUUAUUGGGUUUAAAGGGAGCGCAGGCCGGAGAUUAAGCGUGUUGUGAAAUGUAGACGCUCAACGUCUGCACUGCAGCGCGAACUGGUUUCCUUGAGUACGCACAAAGUGGGCGGAAUUCGUGGUGUAGCGGUGAAAUGCUUAGAUAUCACGAAGAACUCCGAUUGCGAAGGCAGCUCACUGGAGCGCAACUGACGCUGAAGCUCGAAAGUGCGGGUAUCGAACAGGAUUAGAUACCCUGGUAGUCCGCACGGUAAACGAUGGAUGCCCGCUGUUGGUCUGAAUAGGUCAGCGGCCAAGCGAAAGCAUUAAGCAUCCCACCUGGGGAGUACGCCGGCAACGGUGAAACUCAAAGGAAUUGACGG
rnacentral:rRNA from 1 species